rnacentral:tRNA from 1 species
GCUGGGGCUCAGUGGUAGAGCACUUGCCUAGCAUGUGUGAGGCCCUGGGUUUGAUUCUCAGCACAAUA